rnacentral:rRNA from 1 species
UACGUAGGGUGCGAGCGUUAAUCGGAAUCACUGGGCGUAAAGCGCACGUAGGUGGAUCGCUAAGUCAGGGGUGAAAUCCUGGAGCUCAACUCCAGAACUGCCUUUGAUACUGGCAAUCUCGAGUCCGGGAGAGGUGAGUGGAACUGCGAGUGUAGAGGUGAAAUUCGUAGAUAUUCGCAAGAACACCAGUGGCGAAGGCGGCUCACUGGCCCGGUACUGACGCUGAGGUGCGAAAGCGUGGGGAGCAAACAGG